GUGCAUGGCAGACGGGUGAGUAACGCGUGGGGAAUCUACCUCUUUGUGGGGAAUAACGCUCCGAAAGGAGUGGUAAUACCGCAUGAGAUCCAUGGCUGGGAUGCUGUGGAUGAAACCUGGGGACCGCAAGGCCUGGGGCAAGGAGAGGAUCCUGCGUCUGAUUAGCUAGUUGGUGAGGUAAUGGCCCACCAAGGCGACGAUCAGUAGCCGGCCUGAGAGGGUGAUCGGCCACACUGGAACUGAGACACGGUCCAGACUCCUACGGGAGGCAGCAGUGGGGAAUUUUGCGCAAUGGGCGAAAGCCUGACGCAGCAACGCCGCGUGGGUGAUGAAGGUCUUCGGAUCGUAAAACCCUGUCGUCGGGGACGAAGGUGGAGGGGUUAAUAGCCUCUUUGCUUGACGGUACCCGGAGAGGAAGCCCCGGCUAACUCUGUGCCAGCAGCCGCGGUAAUACAGAGGGGGCAAGCGUUAUUCGGAAUUAUUGGGCGUAAAGGGCGCGUAGGCGGCUUUUUAAGUGAGAUGUGUAAUCCCUGAGCUCAACUUGGGAACUGCAUCUCAUACUGGGAGGCUAGAGUACUGG
rnacentral:rRNA from 1 species